UCUGUCUUCUGCCAGGACAUCCCUUUUCCUUUCUACACCCCUGGAGGAUGGGAUCCGAAAGCACAAGAACAAAGCUGCAGGACCCUGGGGUUGGCAGAAGAGCCCUGAUAUCAGGCCCCCCAGAACCACCUGGACCAUGUGCAGGGAUGAGGGCACCCAGGCAUUCUCCAGAAGCCACACAGGUGCAGGAAUGAGACACCGUCCCCAAUUCUACCACACUGAUUUCCAGGGCACGCUCGAGCUGUUCAAUGACUGAGUCACACUAGAAGGACCUGGCCCCCUCUACUUCAGGAGGUCACGAAGUUUCAAAGGUGACUAUCCCCUCAAGGUCAUACCCGCAGACCCAGCCCAGCAGCGCCCUCUUCCAAGACAGGGCCUGAGUCUGUGGAUCUUAUUUCUCCCCCAGCCUGCAGGUAAAGUUAUCUCUUCACCCCUAUGUACUUUCUCCACACCCCUAUGUGAAUACCCUUUUACCUGUGACCCCCAACACCUCUCCGACACUGCCGUAUGAUAAGUCCACUCUGUGAGGCCAUGGCGUGGGUUCCUGUCCCCUGUCAGCUGUUUCACAGCCGUGGCCAUGAGGGAGGAAGCAGGGACACAGGAAGGAGACAGGGAUGGAGCCCCCACCCAGGGUGGCAGAGCAGAGCCGAAUGCUAGUGCACCCUUCCUGGGCCUCUCUCUGUCUGCCUGGCUCCAGCUGCCUGGCAGGUGAGGCGAAGCCCGCCUGCCACCGAAGGGGCCCUGACACAUGUUAAAAUAAAUAUUCCGCGGCAACGAUGCUCCA